AGGUAUCUCAGGGGGGGUUAUGGUUAGCUCACACUAUGCAGAAUUACACACAGUAGGAAAUCUGGGGAUUUCUCUCUCUUGCUUCAGUGACUCUAGCAGCUUGCCCAGCACUCCUAAAGCGACAUGUUGUAAGGGUCAUGGGUUUGGAGCAAAGCCAAUACUAGUGUUAGCAAGCAGAAUUCCUUAUGACUCCACUUUUUAAAUUUUUUUUUUUCCUUUUUCUCUUUGCUAUUGGCCCAACACAAGCAGCAAAAGUAACAUGUCUGAACCUGUUUCAUUGUCUGUUCUGGUGGUUACCCACUUUCUUCUCCCCUGGUUCAGGGAAAGUGAGGAAAAAAGGUUUGCCUUUGCCCAGCAGCACUGCAGGUGUCUGUCCCUCUGAAAGAGUCCCAGCGGUGUGGGCGUGCUGGAAAGAAAAAUCCCCAGUGACUUCACCCAGCUUGGCUUGUGGUGGUUACUCACAAUGAGGUAACUUUUUUUUUCUAAAUUAUUUCUUUUCUUUUUUUUUUUUUUUUUUUUUUUUUUUUUUUUUUUUUUUUUUUUUUUUUUUUUUUUUUUACAUCUGAGUUUUUGCAUAUGAGUGAAACUGCAGCUCUGGGACGAUUCAGGGAGUUUUCUCUGCAGAGUAAUUUUGCCUUUACACUGCUAUUACAGCUCUGGUAUCCUAUAGCAAGUAAGAACAUAACAUUACAUCUGUUCACACGUGGGAGAUGGAGGAACUGCAUUAAGAGCCCAUCAGAUAGGAAGGUAAGAGGCUGCUUAGGUUUGUGUGGAGCCACUUCCAAGUUUGGCAAACUGGGCUGGAGUGCCUUGGCCCAGGCUGAACUCAGCACUGCUGGGUUUCUAAUGGCUCUAAGCAAUUCUUUUCUACCCUGUCCUUAAAUGUUUAUCACCCAGGGGUUCAGGCAUGGCCUGCUUUGUUUCUGUGGUAUUCCUCUCCUUUCUCCAUGCUCAAGGGGCAGCCUGGGAAAUGGCAGCAUAUGCUUUUCCCUGCUCUGCAGUAGCCUGAGCUUUCAUGUUGCCUGUCUCUUGCCCUCCUUUGCUCACAUGGCUGUCAGCUGGCUCACAUCCAUCUCUCAGUGACUCUAUCUGAUAAGGCCUGUGCUGUUUAGAUAAAUUUUGGGAAUUGUUGGAAAAUAUCCAAGGAGACAUAGUUCAUUUUUCAGUCAUCUUUUCUUCUAAUCUCAGUUGGGAAAUCUUGAUCUUCAAAUUCUGCUUCUCCAGCAGUCACCACCAUUUUCGCCUCCUCCUGUCUCUCCCCUCACUUCCCCUUCAAAAACAGGAAUAACUGGCUUAGUGCUCCUACUUAGGUCCAAUGGGCGUGUGGAACACCACACAUGAAGUAGGAACUGCUCUGAGAGAAAAAAAAAGGAUGUUGCUGGCCCAUUGAGGCAGACUUCUGCCUUUCUGCUUUCCUCUGUUGAAUUAUCUCUAACUGCCACAAGUUUUAGGUGAGGUGGUUAAAUAGAACUAACUGCAUAAUAUGAUCUCUCCAGUGAUAGCUUUUACAGUCAAAGGUUGCAAGGGUUUUUUUCUGUUUAUGUCUUAAUUUUCUUUUCUUUAUAUUCUCCAGUUCUUUCUCAUUUUCAAAUACUGGGAUAUCUAAGAGGUAUUUU
rnacentral:lncRNA from 12 species